AAAGUGGAUCAAGCGAUCGCUUCUGCCUUUGGCAGAGGAGGAAAGUCCGGACUCCGCAGGACAGGGUGGCCGUUAACGGCGGCCCCGAGCGAUCGGGGGAAAGUACCACAGAAAACAUACCGCCUUGCCGCUUCGGCGGCGGGUAAGGUUGAAAUGGCGAGGUAAGAGCUCACCGGUUCGCCAGUGAUGGCGAACGCAUGGCAAACCCCACCUGGAGCAAGGCCAAAUAGGAGGGCUGGGUGGUCCGCCCUUAGCCCUCGGGUAUGGUCGCUCGACUCCUCGAGCAAUCGAGGAGCAAGAUGAAUGAUCGCUGUGGUUCCGCUUAAGAACCACAACAGAAUCCGGCUUAUCGAUCCACUCUAGCC
rnacentral:RNase_P_RNA from 1 species